ACGGGUGAGUAACACGUGGGAACGUGCCCUUCGGUUCGGAAUAACUCAGGGAAACUUGAGCUAAUACCGGAUGCGCCCUUAUGGGGAAAGGUUUACUGCCGAAGGAUCGGCCCGCGUCUGAUUAGCUUGUUGGUGGGGUAACGGCCUACCAAGGCGACGAUCAGUAGCUGGUCUGAGAGGAUGAUCAGCUACACUGGGACUGAGACACGGCCCAGACUCCUACGGGAGGCAGCAGUGGGGAAUAUUGGACAAUGGGCGCAAGCCUGAUCCAGCCAUGCCGCGUGAGUGAUGAAGGCCUUAGGGUUGUAAAGCUCUUUUGUCCGGGACGAUAAUGACGGUACCGGAAGAAUAAGCCCCGGCUAACUUCGUGCCAGCAGCCGCGGUAAUACGAAGGGGGCUAGCGUUGCUCGGAAUCACUGGGCGUAAAGGGCGCGUAGGCGGCCGAUUAAGUCGGGGGUGAAAGCCUGUGGCUCAACCACAGAAUUGCCUUCGAUACUGGUCGGCUUGAGACCGGAAGAGGACAGCGGAACUGCGAGUGUAGAGGUGAAAUUCGUAGA
rnacentral:rRNA from 1 species